rnacentral:rRNA from 1 species
UGGCUCAGAUUGAACGCUGGCGGCAGGCCUAACACAUGCAAGUCGAGCGGUAGAGAGAAGCUUGCUUCUCUUGAGAGCGGCGGACGGGUGAGUAAUGCCUAGGAAUCUGCCUGGUAGUGGGGGAUAACGUUCGGAAACGGACGCUAAUACCGCAUACGUCCUACGGGAGAAAGCAGGGGACCUUCGGGCCUUGCGCUAUCAGAUGAGCCUAGGUCGGAUUAGCUAGUUGGUGGGGUAAUGGCUCACCAAGGCGACGAUCCGUAACUGGUCUGAGAGGAUGAUCAGUCACACUGGAACUGAGACACGGUCCAGACUCCUACGGGAGGCAGCAGUGGGGAAUAUUGGACAAUGGGCGAAAGCCUGAUCCAGCCAUGCCGCGUGUGUGAAGAAGGUCUUCGGAUUGUAAAGCACUUUAAGUUGGGAGGAAGGGCCAUUACCUAAUACGUGAUGGUUUUGACGUUACCGACAGAAUAAGCACCGGCUAACUCUGUGCCAGCAGCCGCGGUAAUACAGAGGGUGCAAGCGUUAAUCGGAAUUACUGGGCGUAAAGCGCGCGUAGGUGGUUUGUUAAGUUGGAUGUGAAAUCCCCGGGCUCAACCUGGGAACUGCAUUCAAAACUGACUGACUAGAGUAUGGUAGAGGGUGGUGGAAUUUCCUGUGUAGCGGUGAAAUGCGUAGAUAUAGGAAGGAACACCAGUGGCGAAGGCGACCACCUGGACUGAUACUGACACU